CUUGGAACUCGAUCGAAUUAGGAAACCCUAGAUUGCCGCGGGCGGUGGAAUCGAAAUUAUCGAAUUUGGUAUUCAAUUGAUGCCGCAACGAGGAGACGUGAUGAACAAGAAGCGCGUCAACUCAUCAGGAGGAGAUGAAGAUGGCCCCAACAAGAAACAAGGAAUCACUGGAAAGAAAGAGAACAAAACUCAGAGCCUGCAACAAAAAUUGAAACGGGUUGCUGCCGCCCAUGCUUACCACUUGACGUUGUGCGUGACAUUCUCUCAAGACUGCCUGCAA